rfam:Methylomonas sp. LWB scaffold3_size432378, whole genome shotgun sequence.
GCCGGCAUAGCUCAGCAGGUAGAGCAGCGCACUCGUAACGCGAAGGUCGUAGGUUCGAUUCCUAUUGCCGGCA